UACAGAGGUCUCAAGCGUUGUUCGGAUUCAUUGGGCGUAAAGGGUGCGUAGGCGGCGCGGUAAGUCGGGUGUGAAAUCUCGGAGCUUAACUCCGAAACUGCAUUCGAUACUGCCGUGCUUGAGGACUGGAGAGGAGACUGGAAUUUACGGUGUAGAGGUGAAAUUCGUAGAUAUUCGCAAGAACACCAGUGGCGAAGGCGGCUCACUGGCCCGAUACUGACGCUGAGGUGCGAAAGCGUGGGGAGCAAACAGG
rnacentral:rRNA from 1 species